UUUUACUUAAAAAAUAAAAAAAUUGCAGGGAAAAUUCAUGUUUCAGUCAAAAAAUAAAGUCCAUGUUCUUCGAUAUUGUAUAUGCAGUAGUAAUUCAGGCAAAUAUAAAUCAGUAGGUAAUAGAGAAAGAAUAAUUAAUAAAAGCAAAUAUGUAAGUUCCAGCACAAACAAGUAGGAGUCUUUGAAUGCUAAUAUCGGAACCAAGUGGAUCAAAAAAAGCUGUUAUUUUUUAUUUAAAACCCCGCGUAUCGAGAAAUGUUCGAUGCAAGAAAAUUAGGCUAGGCUGUAAUAUGUCAUAUCACGAAUUUACAUCAUGUUGGUAGAAUUACGUAGUUCUUAGACAAACUAAAACAAAAAUAUAAUAUAAAAAUAUACAAAAGAAAAUUUAA